UAAUUGAGCAAACCCUAAGUUUUAGUCGCUAAUUCCUUUUCCUCCCCUGAUUCCCUUCUCUCCUCUCCUUCAUUGCGCCGAACUCCUUUCCCCGAGUUCGCACCUCGCGAUCCACCGCACCCAGCCACCUAUCUUCUCCUCCUCACGCGGACGCCAGCCGUCGAGCCACAGUCGCUGGUUCUCUUUCCCUCAGGCGAGUACCAGCGACUUCCCUUCCUCGCGAUCUCACCACGUUGAUUGCCUUCUUGCGCUGACCCCUUACCUGUGCCCUAGUGUUUCUUUCUCCCGGUGCUGCCACCGAGCCCCUCUCAUGAGUUUUCUCCUCUUUUCUCCGAGCCGUGCACUCGCUGUCUCCACUGCUGACGCCUUUCCUCUGCCCUAGCUACCGAUCCACUUCCGACCCGAUACUCAUCUUCCCGAUCCGAGGGCGUCAUCUCUGCAUGAGCUGGUCUUCAGCCAAGAGCAGGGAUCCAAGCCUUAGUUCUUCUUCCGUGCCCUAGACUUCCACCACCGAAACCUUCAUCACGAUUUCUCGGCACCAGAGGUAGUAUUGCUAUUGAUCGCAAUAGCUCGUGGUUACCGGAGGCACCACUGGUUGUAAGUCUGAUAGCGAAUCCAGAGUUAUUGAAGAAUUUUAGGUGAGGGGUCAAACUGAAAGUGUUGGGGGAAAACUAAGGUAGCAGGUAAAGGAUUUAUGGAGUCACCUGGAGAACCUGUCCGCCAGUCCCACAUCACAUUCGAGGACGAUCUUAUGAUUUUGGUAUUCCUUACGCUAGUUGUAUCUUGGUUUUGUACUUGUUCUUGUAUUUGUGUAUUCUGUUAUUUGGAGUAUCGUUUAUGGUAUCCGGUAUUUGGUUUGUUAAUAUUGUGUCAAGCUGAGCCGGCUCGCAGUUAGUUGUAUUGUGAUUUUAUGUUUGUUA